rnacentral:piRNA from 1 species
UGAUGACGUCAGGCACAAGUGGUUUGAACA